ensembl:lncRNA
AUUCAACCGUCUCCUGCUCCGGUCAGUUACUACAAAAUGGCUGCAGAGGCUCCGCCGCCGAUGAGAACCUACUGAACGCUUCAUGCUGUGAAAAGAAGCAAAAAAAAACACGAGAAGAGAACCAUUUGAUGGAAGAUAAGAAAAAGAAAAAGCAAGACGAGAAGAAAAAGAAAGAAGCUGCUCAAAAAAAGGCCACAGAACAGAUAACCAAAGUGCCAGACUCUGCCAAGCCCGACCCCGCCCUUCCUCCUGCCCCCGUCAGCCCCAGCGCCGCCCCGUCUGUACCCCCAAGCAGUGGAAAUGGCAAGCGGGCCCCGCCGGGAGGCCAGCCUCAGACAGCCCAGCAGCCCCAGACCCCGGUCCAGCAGCGCUACCCACCCAGAGAGGUGCCUCCACGCUUCCGCCAGCAGGAGCACAAGCAGCUGCUGAAGAGGGGUCAGCCGCUGCCUGCCGGGACGCUGCCGCUCAUCACCACGGGACGCGCCGCCACUAGUGAACCUGCAGCAACAGUAGCCAUACACUCCUCUCCCUCCUCUUCCUCCACAGCCAGCCUGCCCACAGUAUUUCCUGUUUCAGGAGGAGGAGCGAUACGGAGCUAGCUAGUUGGCCGGCCGCCUCGGUGGGCCUGACCUGGCAUGGAUAGAAAGAC